UACGGAGGGGGCUAGCGUUGUUCGGAAUUACUGGGCGUAAAGCGCGCGUAGGCGGACCUGCAAGUCGGGGGUGAAAGCCCGAGGCUCAACCUCGGAACUGCCUUCGAUACUGCGGUCUCGAGUCCGGGAGAGGUGAGUGGAAUUCCUAGUGUAGAGGUGAAAUUCGUAGAUAUUAGGAAGAACACCAGUGGCGAAGGCGG
rnacentral:rRNA from 1 species